GGGUGAUUAGCUCAGCUGGGAGAGCACCUCCCUUACAAGGAAGGGGUCGGCGGUUCGAUCCCGUCAUCACCCACCA
rnacentral:tRNA from 3 species